GCUCACAUCCUGGGCUCAAAGCCCUAGUGACACAGAUUAUUCAGUUGGGGCACUGAUGUCCGGUCUGACUUCCCUCCAGGCCCCAGGGUCUAUGCUAAACCAGGCAGUGAGAUUGUAAUACUCCAAUGAUCACUGCUAAAGACACAUUAGGGAAAAGAACAGAGAAGAAAUCAAAAGAUCCCUUCCUGAUUUCAGGGAGGAGGAGACAGACAGGCGUUUGGGGUUUGUCGAACGGGAGACGGAGGGAGUGGGUACAGACUUCAACCUAUUCCCUCAUUAUGUUUACAUUCAACACAAACCACUAGCGGGGCUGGGAAGCAAACAUAAUCAACAACUUUUCGGAUUUUAAACUCAUCACCUUGGUGCUCAUUACGAAGGGUGCAUUGACUGCACCCUCAAUGAACAGACUAGGCUGUCUCUACUGUGGGUGCUUAUAGGAGCACCAUGGGAGGCAGAGGGAAGACAGAAAAGCCAUUUUGGGGACUCACCAGGUAUAGGGAAUCACUUUGGAACAAGGGACCCCCCCAUCAGAUCCAAAAGAGAGCCACGUUCCAAAAUUCUUUCCAGCUGAGUCCACCCCUCCCUGGAAGCCCACCCUAGCCCCUUCUAGAGGCCAAGGCCACCGCCUUAUGGAGCAUGAGCAUCCCUUGCUGCAGCCAACUAUGCUAGACUCCACAGAUGCUGACCACGGUGGGCUUCAUGUUGUAUUGGGCCUGCGUUAACCCAGCUCUCUCUCGAGACAGAGCGGGUGGGGGAGCUGCAGCAGAGGGCAGACACGCCAUCAGCACCCCCCCGCCAACAGCACCUUCCUGGUAUUUAUAAACACAGAGAUCACACGCACAAUCCCUCCAGUGCAAACCAGUCCGGCUGCUUUAGAAACAAGUUGUUUUCUGCUUCCAGAACCACCCAGGAGCCUGCGUGAUGUCUCUUCCCCCACCCGACCCCCUCUUCCCUCUGCCGGUCUCCUUGCUCCAGGUGUGGAGCAGAGAAAAGGCUAUACCCACUGAUGAACAGGGAUCCACACCUGGGGAAGAAGCAAGUAUGACUUUCUCUCCUGUGGCUUUACACAACCUCCUUGAAAUUCCAAGAGCAACCCUCCCAGCUAAAGUCUUCUCAGAUGUGACACAUAAGCCUUCACCCAACAUGAUUCCCAUUUCAUGAAUGGGCUAUAUGCCAAUGGAGAAGAAAUGAAGACAAGAAAUAUCACUCUAGAGGCAAUCAUAAUCAUAGUUUUAAAACAACAAUCUCUAUCUGAGUGGGGUAUUACACAUCUGUGGGUAUGUUAAAGUUCAUCCACAGGCUCUGCCCUUAGGAUUACAGCAUUUUCUUCAUUUUACUUUAUGUAUGUUACCCUCAAUUUAAUAAAAAACAAGAAGCA
rnacentral:lncRNA from 1 species